GAUGAAGAACUCAGUGAAAUGCGAUACUUGGUGUGAAUUGCAGAAUCCCGUGAACCAUCGAGUCUUUGAACGCAAGUUGCGCCCGAAGCCAUUAGGCCGAGGGCACGCCUGCCUGGGCGUCACACGUCGUUGCCCCCCCCAUCUACUCCUUCGGGAUUGCGGGGGGCGGAUGAUGGCCUCCCGUGCGCCUCGCCGCGCGGUUGGCAUAAAUGCCAAGUCCUCGGCGAUGCACGCCACGACAAUCGGUGGUUGCGAAACCUCGGUUGCCCGUCGUGUGCGGUCGUCGCGCAUCGAGGGCUCGAAAAAAUUGCCGGGUUCCGGCUCGGCUUUCAACGCGACCCCAGGUCAGGCGGGGUUACCCGCUGAAUUUAAGCAUAUCAAUAAGCGGAGGA
rnacentral:misc_RNA from 1 species